AUUAAUUAGACCACAGCUUAGGAAGCAUAUAACACGGGACACGAAAGCAAGGUCUUCCUUUCGUUCUAAAUGACAGAGUUCAAACGUCCCUUUUUUGUUUGGUUCUUUCUGGAAUACAAGAGUUAACGGAUCCAUUUUCCUCCGUGACCACAUAUGCUCUUCGUGAGGACCCCGCUCCCUGUUUCCCCAGGGGACCCUGACCAGAGCCUGUCCUCUCCAGCAAUGGCAUCUCCAGGCAGAGAGAGGCGAGACAGCACAAGAAAUCCUAGUUCAACUGAGACGACAUGGGUAGCACAGGUUAAAAAUUAAAUUCUGGCUGAGUUUUAAACCUAAAUGGACUAGGAGAAAAUAUUCACACUCUAAUACUGAUGGUCAAUUUGGAUGGAAAAAUGAGUCCCUGGCAGUUUACAGAGGACACAAUGGAGGAGAGAAAUAUACAGCAGUACUGAAGACAAUGCAGACACAUCUUUUCCUCCUCUUAAAAAUUUACAGUUUCUGAGAUUUUAUCACUCUGGUUCCAUUUACUUUGAAAAAACCACCAUACAGAUGUUUUAGUAAUGUCCCACCCUUAUGGUUGCACAAUAUGUCAAAAAUACAAUAAUAAUUCAAGCUUUUCCUAAUAAUGCAUUUAUGUGAGCUAUUUCUAGGUAACGGCUGAAAUCCACAUUUCACAAUCCUGUUUUCAGAGCACAUACUUUUUCCGUUGGUCUUUAUUUCAUUUUGCUCCCAUUCAAUGAUGCAGCAAAGUUUUUCAGACUAAUUGAUAUUGAACUAAAUCCACUUAAACAGUGACUGCAAACCAAGCACCCUCAUUUAAACUAAUUUUAAGUCUAAAAUUGUGUUUUAGAUACUUGAGUGCAUUGUAUCUUAAUUCCCCUUAUAACAUCCCAAUCCCCAAAGCAGGAGAGACUAAGUACUUUAUAUAUUAUCCACUAUAACUAAUAAUAUGAAAUAACUCUCCUCCAGUACACUGUAUGAAGCAGAGUAAUUAAAUACAUCACACUAAAAUGCACUCAAAUUCCUAUUACUCUGCCUCCAGGUGGGUAUUUUUUCCUUUAAUGUUUUCAAUUAAAAAAUUGGGUGUUCUCACCAUUUUCAUUUUGCUCUAGUCCAUUACUGAGCCUCUUCGAAUAUAGCUGACUACUCCAUCUCCUGACUAAA